rnacentral:rRNA from 1 species
AGGGCACCACCAGGAGUGGAGCCUGCGGCUUAAUUUGACUCAACACGGGGAAACUCACCCGGCCAGGACACAAUAAGGAUUGACAGAUUGAUAGCUCUUUCUUGAUUUUGUGGGUGGUGGUGCAUGGCCGUUCUUAGUUGGUGGAGCGAUUUGUCUGGUUAAUUCCGAUAACGAACGAGACUCUAGCCUAUUAAAUAGACGAUAUAUUAUUAGUUUAUCGAGCUUCUUAGAGGGACAGGCAGCUUCUAGCUGCACGAGAUUGAGCAAUAACAGGUCUGUGAUGCCCUUAGAUGUCCGGGGUUGCACGCGCGCUACACUGGCGAAAUCAGCGUGCUAUUCCUGUCUCGAAAGAGACUGGUAAGCCGAUGAAAAUUUGCCGUGAUUGGGAUCGGAAAUUGCAAUUAUUUUCCGUGAACGAGGAAUUCCAAGUAAGUGUGAGUCAUCAACUUGCGUUGAUUACGUCCCUGCCCUUUGUACACACCGCCCGUCGCUGCCCGGGACUGAGCCAUUUCGAGAAAA